CCUACGGGGGCAGCAGUGGGGAAUAUUGGACAAUGGGCGAAAGCCUGAUCCAGCCAUGCCGCGUGUGUGAAGAAGGCCUUCGGGUUGUAAAGCACUUUCAGUGGGGAAGAAAGCCUUGGGGCUAAUACCCUCGAGGAAGGACAUCACCCACAGAAGAAGCACCGGCUAACUCCGUGCCAGCAGCCGCGGUAAUACGGAGGGGGCGAGCGUUAAUCGGAAUUACUGGGCGUAAAGCGCGCGUAGGCGGUCUGAUAAGCCGGUUGUGAAAGCCCCGGGCUCAACCUGGGAACGGCAUCCGGAACUGUCAGGCUAGAGUGCAGGAGAGGAAGGUAGAAUUCCCGGUGUAGCGGUGAAAUGCGUAGAGAUCGGGAGGAAUACCAGUGGCGAAGGCGGCCUUCUGGACUGACACUGACGCUGAGGUGCGAAAGCGUGGGUAGCAAACAGGAUUAGAUACCCGAGUAGUC
rnacentral:rRNA from 1 species